rnacentral:rRNA from 1 species
GACGAACGCUGGCGGCGUGCUUAACACAUGCAAGUCGAACGGAAAGGCCCUGCUUUUGUGGGGUGCUCGAGUGGCGAACGGGUGAGUAACACGUGAGUAACCUGCCCUUGACUUUGGGAUAACUUCAGGAAACAGGGGCUAAUACCGGAUAGGAGCUCCUGCUGCAUGGUGGGGGUUGGAAAGUUUCGGCGGUUGGGGAUGGACUCGCGGCUUAUCAGCUUGUUGGUGGGGUAGUGGCUUACCAAGGCUUUGACGGGUAGCCGGCCUGAGAGGGUGACCGGCCACAUUGGGACUGAGAUACGGCCCAGACUCCUACGGGAGGCAGCAGUGGGGAAUAUUGCACAAUGGGCGGAAGCCUGAUGCAGCAACGCCGCGUGCGGGAUGACGGCCUUCGGGUUGUAAACCGCUUUCGCCUGUGACGAAGCGUGAGUGACGGUAAUGGGUAAAGAAGCACCGGCUAACUACGUGCCAGCAGCCGCGGUGAUACGUAGGGUGCGAGCGUUGUCCGGAUUUAUUGGGCGUAAAGGGCUCGUAGGUGGUUGAUCGCGUCGGAAGUGUAAUCUUGGGGCUUAACCCUGAGCGUGCUUUCGAUACGGGUUGACUUGAGGAAGGUAGGGGAGAAUGGAAUUCCUGGUGGAGCGGUGGAAUGCGCAGAUAUCAGGAGGAACACCAGUGGCGAAGGCGGUUCUCUGGGCCUUUCCUGACGCUGAGGAGCGAAAGCGUGGGGAGCGAACAGGCUUAGACACCCUGGUAGUCCACGCUGUAAACGGUGGGUACUAGGUGUGGGGUCCAUUCCACGGGUUCCGUGCCGUAGCUAACGCUUUAAGUACCCCGCCUGGGGAGUACGGCCGCAAGGCUAAAACUCAAAGGAAUUGACGGGGCCCCGCACAAGCGGCGGAGCAUGCGGAUUAAUUCGAUGCAACGCGUAGAACCUUACCUGGGUUUGACAUGGAUCGGGAGUGCUCAGAGAUGGGUGUGCCUCUUUUGGGGUCGGUUCACAGGUGGUGCAUGGCUGUCGUCAGCUCGUGUCGUGAGAUGUUGGGUUAAGUCCCGCAACGAGCGCAACCCUUGUUCACUGUUGCCAGCACGUUAUGGUGGGGACUCAGUGGAGACCGCCGGGGUCAACUCGGAGGAAGGUGGGGAUGACGUCAAGUCAUCAUGCCCCUUAUGUCCAGGGCUUCACGCAUGCUACAAUGGCUGGUACAGAGAGUGGCGAGCCUGUGAGGGUGAGCGAAUCUCGGAAAGCCGGUCUCAGUUCGGAUUGGGGUCUGCAACUCGACCUCAUGAAGUCGGAGUCGCUAGUAAUCGCAGAUCAGCAACGCUGCGGUGAAAAAGUUCCCGGG